rnacentral:rRNA from 1 species
CAGUCGCCGCGGUAAUACGUAGGGUGCGAGCGUUAAUCGGAAUUACUGGGCGUAAAGCGUGCGCAGGCGGUUGUGUAAGACAGGUGUGAAAUCCCCGGGCUUAACCUGGGAACUGCGCUUGUGACUGCACAGCUAGAGUAUGGCAGAGGGGGGUGGAAUUCCACGUGUAGCAGUGAAAUGCGUAGAGAUGUGGAGGAACACCGAUGGCGAAGGCAGCCCCCUGGGCCAAUACUGACGCUCAUGCACGAAAGCGUGGGGAGCAAACAGGAUUAGAUACCCCUGUAGUCCCUGUCUCUUAUAA